rfam:Oryza sativa (indica cultivar-group) chromosome 11, whole genome shotgun sequence.
UUUAAGCGUACCGAUGAGUUUUUUUUUUCCAACUUUAAUCGUCCGUCUUAUUUGAAUUUUUAUAUGACUAGUAUUUUUAUUGUUAUUAGAUGAUAAAACAUGAAUUUAGUUUUUUAAAAAAACAAAUAAAAUGGAUAAUUAAAAUCGGACACGAAAAUGCACGGUUACACUUAAA